UACGUAGGGGGCAAGCGUUGUCCGGAAUCAUUGGGCGUAAAGAGCGUGUAGGCGGCUUGGUAAGUCCGCUGUGAAAGUCCAGGGCUCAACCCUGGAAUGCCGGUGGAAACUGUCAAGCUUGAGUCCGGAAGAGGCGAGCGGAAUUCCUGGUGUAGCGGUGAAAUGCGCAGAUAUCAGGAGGAACACCAAUGGCGAAGGCAGCUCGCUGGGACGGUACUGACGCUGAGACGCGAAAGCGUGGGGAGCAAACAGG
rnacentral:rRNA from 1 species